AAAAAGACGUUGAAGAGAAGAGUAGGUAAAUGAAACCUUUCCAGAGAAUCCCGGUAGCUGAGAAGGGAUGAGGUAAUUUGUUUACUGAAGAUGGUCUCGGAGUUGCGCGCUGAGUUGGGAUUUCCCAUUUAGGUUGCGACGGUUUCGCCCGUUACAGCGAUAAGGCAUAAUCAGAUUUUAUUCUGCCGUGCCUGAUGAGGCUUAUUCCGUAAGGAAUGGGCAAACUGAGGUGGUACCACGAAGCUGUUAUAAGCUCUCGUCCUCGGA
rnacentral:ncRNA from 1 species